AGGCAGAGAUAAGAGAGAAAUUACAGAAAAAGGAACGUGUUUGAGAGCUGAAUGCAUGAUGCAAGAAACAAGAAAGAGGUUAGACUGAUGAUGAAAGUAAAUGACGGGAGUUUGAGGCUAUCAUUGCAAGAAUGAUGGCUCAAGGCGGUGUGUAAUGCCAAGGCAAUGGCAUCAUCUGUUGACCUGUUAGAGCAAUAUGCAAACUGAAAAGGGUCCAUGGAGGCAGGGAGAGUGGAGCAUAUAUGUGUUCUGACUAUCCGCUCAAAGCACUUCAUGAUGAUGGAGGUGAUGAUAAAUGGCUCAACGUGUUUCUCUGGAGAGCUUCUCGCACACUCAUCAGGAGGGAGAUGAUCUGGAGCCUGUUACGCAGGAGAAGAUCAAUGGGCUUCAGCAGCACAAGUGAUUCUCCCAUGGCUCGCCGGCUGCUUAAACUGCCUGUGUUUCCACAAAGCUGUCAAAUUGAGCCCAUGGUCUCAUUGUUCAGAGCUGACGGCAAUUGAAUCCACCCAUCAAUGGUCCAGCUGAUCCAAUCUUUGAUAUAUGGAGAGAUGAAUUGCAAUGGUCCUUAUAGCUAAUAGAGUCACCAUAAACAUUAAUAUAUAGAGACUUUUUUAUAGCCUUUAAUAUGGUAUAGUUGAUGCAGAGAGUGGCCGUGGACAUGGAUUUUAAUCAGUAUCAAGAUUAUAGAUUAAAAUGUACACAUAUCAAAUCAAAUCACAUUUAUUGUCACACAGCCAUAUACACAAGUGCAAUGGUGUGUGAAAUUCAGUCGUGACAGUGAUGAGACAUAUACCAAUUUACAAUAACAUCAAAUUAACACAACACAAUUUAAAGUCUAAUAUACACAUAAUUACACACAACAAUAUACAAAUAAUAACAUACACUGUACAGUAUACAAUAUGCACAAUAUAGAUAAACAUUAUUCAAUAAAAAAAAAAAGUAUAUAUAGUAGUAUAUAUAGAAUGUACAGUUGGCUGUAUUGUACUGUAUUGACAUUCAGGCUGUCGGUUGAUAGUAACUUGUUAAGAGAGAAUAUAUAUAAUAAUAAUAUAAUUUAUGACAGUCCGGUGUGAGAUAUAAGAGUGAGAGUAAUAAAGUGCAGUGCUGAUGUAUUUUGAUCAUAGGAGAUCAAGAGUUCAAAAGUCUGAUUGCUUGGGGGAAGAAGCUGUCAUGGAGUCGGCUGGUGCGGGUCCUGAUGCUGCGAUAUCGCCUGCCUGAUGGUGGCAGUGAGAACAGCCCAUGGCUCGGGUGGCUAGAGUCUCUGAUGAUCCUCUUGAGGUCUUAUUAAGGCAAGAAACAUACUUUACGCAAGUACGCAGAUGCGAACACCUGGCCAACACGUGGCCCAUUUGAACAUGCUUAUCGUGUGCUCUUGCAUUACUGUGGCGGGAACAAACCUCAGUACUCUAGGAGGCGAUAGACUUACCUUCAAAAGUCUGUGCCAUUAAAGUUGAUGUGUUAUUAUUCAGGUAAGUUGCUUUAAAUAUAUUGACUUUAAUUUAUUUGCUCAGCAAUAUUCUCUUCAAACUGUUGCUCCACCAUGACAGUAGUUAGCUUGAAAGAAAAAACACAGCAGAAGCAGACAAUUCACACUAACAUCUGCUA